CUCCGCUGACUUCUGUCAACUUUUGUCUUCUCUUCCAAAUACAUUAGCUUCAGAUCACUUUUUUCUCUGGAAAUAGUUGCAAAUUUUGACGGGAAACUUUCGAAAAACAGAGAGACGCUGUUGAGGACAAUGUCUCCAAGCAGUAAAGUAAUCGUUUUUGCUCUGAUUCUAGCGUUGACCAUGGUGGUCAACGGAGUUUCAGCGAUAUUCUUCGUGCAAAAGAGCAGCUUGACGGUUCUUAACUCAUGGGCAAUGGGAGCUAAGCACGACGCAGCCAUCGCAACCUUUGGCAUCCCAAGCUACGGCGGUUUCAUGAUCGGCUCCGUCGUCUACGCAGGCAAAGGCAGUUACGGAUGUAACUCCUUCAACAAAACCUUCAAGCCCAAGUCUCCUUAUCCCACCAUCCUCCUCAUUGAUCGUGGAGUGUGUAACUAUCCUUUGAAGAUAUGGAACGGGCAACAAUCCGGUGCAGCGGCUGUUUUACUAGCAGAUAACAUUGUUGAGCCAUUAAUAACAAUGGAUUCACCAGAGGAAUCCCAAGACGAAGAUCCUCACUUUUUAGAUAAAAUCAACAUCCCAUCGGCUUUGAUCCUUUGCUCUUUCGGAGACAGCCUCAAGAAAGCUCUAAAAAGAGGCGAAGAAGUAAUCUUGAAAAUAGAGUGGAGUGAGUCCAUACCAAACCCUGAUGAGAGAGUUGAGUAUGAGCUAUGGGCUAACACUAAUGAUGAAUGUGGUGUACACUGCAAUGAACAGAUGAAUUUCAUAAAGAACUUCAAGGGAAAAGCUCAGAUUCUCGAAAAAGGCGGUCAUACUUUGUUCACACCUCAUUACAUUUCUUGGUCUUGUCCCAAAGAGCUUCUACAUAGCAUGCAGUGUAAGACUCAGUGUAUAAACCAAGGGAGGUAUUGUGCUCCUGACCCUGAACAAGACUUUGAAGAUGGAUAUAAUGGGAAAGACGUCGUUUACGAGAACCUGAGACAGUUAUGUGUUCAUAGAGUGGCUAAGGAGAAGAACAGUUCUUGGGUCUGGUGGGAUUAUGUGACAGAUUUUAACAUCAGGUGUUCUAUGAAGGAGAAGAAAUAUAGCAAAGAAUGUGCGGAUACUGUCGUGGAAUCUCUUGGUUUGUCUCUUGAGAAGAUCAAGAAAUGCAUUGGUGAUCCUGAUGCUGAUGUAGAGAAUGAAGUUCUAAAAACCGAGCAAGCUUUUCAGUUAGGCCAAGAGAAUCGCGGGGUUAUCACAAUCUUUCCAACAUUGAUCAUCAACAAUGCUCAAUAUCGUGGUAAACUCGAGAGAACCUCGGUGCUGAAGGCUAUAUGUUCUGGAUUCAAGGAGAGAACCGAACCUCCAAUAUGUUUGAGUGCAGAUAUAGAGACCAAUGAAUGUCUUGAAGCAAAUGGUGGAUGUUGGCAAGAUAAAAGAUUUAAUGUAACGGCUUGCAAGGACACAUAUAGGGGAAGAGUAUGCGAGUGCCCGGUUGUCCAUGGUGUUCAAUAUAAAGGAGAUGGUUAUACCUCCUGCAAGCCUUAUGGACCUGCGAGAUGUUCCAUGAACGAAGGAGGCUGCUGGUCUGAAACCAAAAAGGGUCAAACUUUCUCUGCUUGUUUGAACUCGGACACAUCAGGAUGUCGUUGCCCUCUAGGCUUCCACGGAGAUGGUCUGAAAUGCGAAGACAUUGAUGAAUGCAAAGAGAAAUCAGCUUGUCAAUGUGAUGGCUGCAAAUGCAAGAACAAUUGGGGAGGAUAUGAAUGCGAAUGCUCUAACAAAAGUCUCUAUAUGAAAGAACAAGACACUUGUAUUGAGAGAAGAAGUGAAUCAAGAAGCAGAUGGUUGUUCACAAUUGUGGGUCUAACUGCCGUUGCAGGCAUCUCUUUCGUUGCUUAUAUAUUCUACAAGUACCACCUUAAGUCUUACAUGGAUUCAGAGAUAGUGUCUAUUAUGUCUCAGUACAUACCUCUUGAUAGCAAAAACAUUCAUGAAGAAUCGGAGCAGAACAGAACAGAACUCUAGUUGUCUGUAAUGAUGACCGUUAAAUCUUGGUUGGAACUAUACUAGAAUGGAAAUGGUUAUCAAACACUGAAGCAAGAUGGAGAACGUUUUGUCUCCUGUCUCCAUCGUCGCCGCCGUUAGAGUUACACAGAUGCCAGAAAGAAGCAAGUCAUGUAGAAAGCUUGAAAGCAGAAUAACGACAUUAGAGUGAUUUUGGAGACUUUUAGACUUGCAUUCCCUCGCUGAUAUCAUAAGUUUAAGAUCUAGGCACGAUUUUCUGAUGAGCCAUAUCGUAUGUAGCAUGAAGACCAAGCAAAAAAUAGUAUAGCAACAUGACUAAAGUGCAAAC